UUCCUGAGAUCCUGCGGACUCGGUGGGCCCUAGUGGGCCCCAGACUGCGUUGCUAGCAAGUGCCCGGGCGCGGCCCAGGCUGCAGGUUCCAGCCCCGUUUCCCACGUUCCCGGGAGUGGGUCAGGUGGGCCGUGUGGCUCGGCCGUGUCCUGCCCUGUUUGGGGAGACCGCUGCGGCCUGUUCCGCAGACUCGUGGAACGUGGCCCGAGAGGCUCCUUGUCUAAAAGACGUUGAUCUCAGCAACAGCCCCACGUGGGCCUCCAGGCGCGGCCCCGGACAGCUGGGCUGGGGACAGCAGGAGCAGGAGGGGCUCUCCUGGGCCCCAGAGCUCUGCUUCUCUGGAUUCACUCGCUGAAAAACGGCAACAGCAGAAACCGCAGAGCGACGGGUCCAGGUGUGUGCUCCUUCCUGCCGAGUCCAGGAGUCACGCCACCUCAUUACGGAAACCUUUGCUCACGAAGACGUUGUCCUACAAAGUCUUUCCCAGAAGGCCGAAGUCUUGCUUUUACAUUGACAUGUGAUUCACGGGAUCCACUUCACGUCCACGUUUGUGUGUGGUGUCAGGGCAGAGGUUCGCUUCUUUGCGUUUUGACAUCCGCUUGCUCAGCACUGUUUGUUGAAAAGACUCCUGUCCCCAUUGUAUCACCCUGGCACCUCUGUUGGACAAAAACGUCUAUGUCUGGACGCCCACUCCAUCGGCCCGUGUGACUCUCCCUUGUGUCGGAGCGCACUGCCUCGACUGCUGUAGCUUUACGAUACGUUUUGCAAUCAGGUGCUAACGUGCAGCCUGCGGGCAGGGACGCCAGACCUUUGUUUUCUAACAGAAGCGCUGACCACCCACUGCUCUGGCAGCGGCCGCGGGUUUGCA